rnacentral:rRNA from 1 species
CCUACGGGUGACAGCAGUGGGGGAUAUUGGACAAUGGGGGAAACCCUGAUCCAGCGACGCCGCGUGAGUGAAGAAGUAUUUCGGUAUGUAAAGCUCUGUCAGCAGGGAAGAAAGAAAUGACGGUACCUGACCAAGAAGCCCCGGCUAACUACGUGCCAGCAGCCGCGGUAAUACGUAGGGGGCAAGCGUUAUCCGGAUUUACUGGGUGGAAAGGGAGCGUAGACGGCAGCGCAAGUCUGGAGUGAAAUGCCGGGGCCCAACCCCGGAACUGCUCUGGAAACUGUGAAGCUGGAGUGCAGGAGAGGUAAGCGGAAUUCCUGGUGUAGCGGUGAAAUGCGUAGAUAUCAGGAGGAACACCGGCGGCGAAGGCGGCUUACUGGACUGUAACUGACGUUGAGGCUCGAAGGCGUGGGGAGCAAACAGGAUUAGAUACCCCUGUAGUC